CUCUGAAUCUUAACUCCUAUAUCUCCUUGGAUGUACUUACUGAGUCCUUUUAAGUACCUUCGUUUUUUUCACCAUUGAGAAACAAACCCUGUUUGUUAAUAAUGAGUUGUAACCUGGAAAGGGGGUCCAGCUCAAUUGUUUAAUGAACGUCUCUUUCUCAUCCAUGACAGCGUAAUCAUAGGAGAACAAUACAUCUUGUACAAUUACAAAGAUCAGAAAAUAUAGAAGUAGAGUGUAUAAGUCACCAGCAGCCACCGUCAGAAAUCAAUCGAUCGACCAAUCUUAACACACAACACCCAACUCAUCAGUGUAUACUGUAUUAUUAACAUGAUUGCAUGACAUGCAGAUAGUUCACCGUCUAUAAGUGAAUGAUAUUCAUAAGUCAUCACGUGGAAAUGGUUUUACACGGUGUAUCUUAUAAGUUGCAUACCCGACACUCUGUCAUUUCAUAACGGAAGUUUGUUAGGUUGUUUUAUACGUAAAGUAUCAAGUAGUAAGUAGCACAACGAUAGCGUAGCAUGCUGUAAGACGAUUGAUAGGUGGUAGGUGUGUCUCAUCUCUCACCGAGCAGGUUCAAAGGUCACGGUGGAUGGGUUAUAGUCAGUGGGGGAAAGCAGAGGGGGGUGGGGCCCGACGAUACUCAAUCAAAUAGCCAUCGGAUCAAAAGGUUAAAGGUUAGAGGUCAACACAGAGGAUAUAUUCACACCGCUGCCGUGCUCGCGCACACAUCAACAUGACACGGGAUUAUUAUGGUAUUCAUUCAUAGGUAGAUUCGACACGGGGUCAGUCUUAAUCGUGCAGAAAACAGACACGGGUUCAAUCCACAGAGGCACAGAGAGUCAUGCACAUUGUCUUAGAAAAGAGGGAACUCUUGAAUCCAAAUCAAGGAAGUUUGAAUAAACCAUUAAAUAAUAUGUACAAGUUUUCAACGUUUUACGACAACCAUAGACUGCAGGCAUUUUAAUAUUGGUAUGAGGGGUUCAGUUAAGUGGAAGGUGUUGUAGGUAAGAUUCAAGAGCUCGAAUUCCUAGAUAAUUUCUGUGAUUUAUAAUGAAGAUUGUAAUUUUUUGUAAACGCCAGAGCCAUCCAUCUGACCAGUGAAAUGCGCUGUGAAAAUAUCUGUUUCUAGUGGACUGCACCUGCCUCCAUAUGAGACCAACUCAAUCUUAGACCGCCCCUGGAAAUGAUCUGCCCAAUCAGGGCAUCUCCUCCCUAAUUGGUUUGGGGGAAUCUUGCCUGUCAAUCACAGGUGGACACCUCUCAACGGCGGAGAAACGAGGGACGGAGAGAGAAGAGAGGGAUUUCUUUUGUGCUCUCUUUGCAACUCUCAAAUCGUACCUACAGCACUGUUAAUGGAGUGAUCAGCCCAGAUGAAGAGUGAGUGUGUGUGUGUGUGUGUGUGUGUGUGUGUGUGUGUGUGUGUGUGUGUGUGUGUGUGUGUGUGUGUGUGUGUGUGUGUGUGUGUGUGUGUGUGUGUGUGCGUGCGUGUCAGGCCAUGAGCGUGUACCACUGUGGCCCCACAUGUAAAGGUUUGUGUUCUGGACAGCGGCUCCAUGAAAAGGGUCUGUUCAAGGGACCCUGUGUGGAUGUUUGGCCCUGAUCUGGUGAGUCGUCAGUGGGCAUCGCAAGGCAGGAGCAGUCCUGGCCGGUAGAGGGGUGGUCCUGCUGGAGGCUGGGCGAGAGAAAAAG
ensembl:lncRNA